UCUUUGGGCUUUGGGUAAUUCUGCAGGGAAUAAAGAAGACAGCGGUGAGCCAGUAGCAAGCAACAUGAACCACAACUACAGAUUGUACUCCGACCUGUAAUGGGACCUUGAUGAGGCACCAACAGUGUCUACUUCAGUCCUGUAUCCAGUUUAUUCCUGUCCGCAUCCAGCCUCUCUCCUGCUCUUUCCACGUGUGGUGGAAGUGACAGAAAGCAUUGCAAGGAAUCUUAGAACAGCAGUAAACAAGAGUAAAGAAGAAGGAACAAUGAAAAGCACAAAAAUAUGGGUAAAUACAAUAAAUUUUUCUUCUCCUCUUGA